CUAGAACUUCGCACAGGCAUUGAACGAACCAUGUACCUUUCGUUGGAUUCCGCCAUGAGUAGAAACCUGCACAGGUUUAACGACUGGGGUUUAAUAAAAAAUCAAUUUUGGCAAGAUCAUACCAAGAUCGCGUUGAGGGUUUCUCGCGUUCCAAGUCCCCGAGUAUACAUGGAAAAUGAUGUACAAACCUUGUGCAGAACUGUGAGCAAUAAGAAAGUCAGCGUGCGUUGGGAUUUUGUAUGAAGUGACGAUUGAGUCUGUUUCGGAGUUUCCGUAUCUACGUGAACGUGCCAUCAGAGUAACGCCGUCAUCCAAUUCAUCGCCUCGACAUGCCU